rnacentral:rRNA from 1 species
CCGCAAGGCCUUGCGCGAUAGGAUGAGCCGACGCCCGAUUAGCUUGUUGGUAGGGUAAUGGCCUACCAAGGCGACGAUCGGUAGCUGGUCUGAGAAGAUGAUCAGCCACACUGGGACUGAGACACGGCCCAGACUCCUACGGGAGGCAGCAGUGGGGAAUAUUGGACAAUGGGCGAAAGCCUGAUCCAGCAAUGCCGCGUGUGUGAAGAAGGCCUGCGGGUUGUAAAGCACUUUCAAUAGUGAAGAAGGAUUUGUGUCGAAUAGACAUGGAGACAGACAUUAACUGUAGAAGAAGCACCGGCUAACUCCGUG